AGAAGACUGCUGCAGGGAUGGAACUU
rnacentral:piRNA from 1 species